AUUAAAAACAUGCCUUUAGCUGAAGCGUGUCUAAAAUUUGUGAAGGAUGACAUUUCCAACCGAUGACAAUGUGAAGGAUCUCAAUGCUGCUCCUAAAUUCAGAUAGUUUUACAUGACCGACUUCUGGCUCUGAGCAGCACCACAGAAAAACCCGCCUUUUCUCCCGUUCCAAAAAGCAUAUCUGUGAACUCUGGUGCUUUGGGAGGGACAUGAGGGGAGCCAGAAGUGUCAUUUGCUGGCUAAUAUCAGCCUCAUUCCUCACAUGCAUUCAGAGCGAGGGCUAUUUUGUACAGAACUGAGCUGAGACGCAGAGGCCUUCUCAGAAGGCAGUCAGCGCUGCACCAGAGGCUGCAGAUGCAACAUUCCACCUCAGCACUGAUGGGAAUCCCCACACCUCCAUUUUCUGUGCCCUGCCACCUCAUCCCCAGCUGCAUUCCCCCAUCAGGACAGUUUAUUUCUCACAGCUGUGUGCACUGAUGGAUUUUGCCCUCCUCUGUACUCAGGUGUGCUUUGUGCUCUUUGUGCUGUCCCCGGAGUGGCUGUGAGGAAAGGAGGUGGCAGUUUGUGGUGGUCCAUCUCUGGGUGCUCCACAGCGGUGAGAGCAAAUAUGCGGCCUGGUCUCAGCUUCCACCAGUCACUUGUCCAGCUCCUCCUCUGCCCUACAUUCAUCUCUCAAUCAUCCUGUGCUGUGUUUUCCCCUUACAAAGGAGCACCAUGCUUGAGAAAGCUUGGACACAGAAGACGGUUUGUAGUCUAUUCUCAUCAGCAUUAACUCUUGUUGAAGAUGAGGAUGAAAAUCUCAGGAUCUGAGUUCUGUAAAGCCGGGGUAAGUGUUGUGUGAUCAAAAUCCAUGCGUUCAUUUAACUUCUAUAUAGUGACUUGUGUGUUA